GUAUGGCGACUAUUGAUAUUUUGUCUCGUUCGUCGUAACUGGCAUCUUCUUGCCUGCCGACCAUCUGUUAUAUCACCACCCAUAUUCCGAGUCC
rfam:Triticum aestivum genome assembly, contig: Triticum_aestivum_CS42_TGACv1_scaffold_062737_1DL